AACUAAAAUACUCUGUCAAGUGACUCUCAGGGUCUCACCCUCCUUUAGCUGGAACUGAAUGCCAUCUCAUGCUCCCAGACUCCAGCCACUCAGGGUGUGGGUGAUGACCCGCCCUGCACUGGGUUCUCAGGGUCACGGAUGGUCUCUGUCAUGGAAAGGUUUUUCUGGGCGGAGAAAAGGGUUGGGAUCUGAAAGAUGGGGUCCUCUGCCUGGCAGCAGGAAGGUGGACAAAGGCUGGUGCCCAGGCCUGCGUGGGCUGCGGUGCCAACCAGCCAUUAUCCCGGGGAUGGGGAUGGCGCCUGUCCCCACACCCAGGAGCGGGAUUGGCCCUUUCCUUCCUCCACCUCACGCCCACUUCUCUCUGCCCAUUCCCCUCCCACUAGAGCUGCGAGGCGCCCCAGGUUCAGCUGCCGCUCACCCCAAAAUCUUGUAAACAAUGGGAAGAAAGAAGAGGAGAAUGGAGUGGUUCAGGGAAGACAGCCAUGGAGAGGGAUGGGGGCCGAGUCCUGCCCUGUGCUCAGCCUGGCCUCUGUGAGAUGUUGCCAGGAGCAGAAACUCCUUAGGCAGCAGAGCAGCCAGACUUCUUACAGCCUCCCCAGGGGGACGUGGUGGGUGGAGAGGGCCUCUUGGAUCAGCUCAGAUUGGGAACUUUCCUUGGUAUUCCUUAAGCAUAAAAGGCUGCCUGCCAAGGUGCAAGGCAGAAGACGCAUCGCCUGCCUCACACAGCAGAGUUUUCCAUACUAGGGGUCACAGACCAUUAGUGGGUUGUGAAAUCAAUUUAGUGGUUUACAGGCAGCACUUUGAAACAAGAGCCCCAGUGUAUUGCUUACAGAAAGUGAGUUUUUCUUUUUUUCAAUUGUAUGUACAUGUAUCCAUACCUAUACUUACAUUAUAUCUAAAUAUCUGUACUGGCUGGUGAUGAAAAGUUUACUAGAUUUAUUUCUUGCCGUGGCUUUAGGGUCCCCCAAAAUUGAAAAACAUUGGCCUAGACUAGGACACCAGUGCUGGGCCCAGCUGGCCCUGGACGAGCCCAAAAAGACCAAACCCGCAGCUCAGGGCGUAUUUUGGCCUCGUGGAGCUGACAGCCCGGGAUAGGUGACUAUGUCAUUGGGCCCCGUCUCUCCUUGGUAGGAUGACAUUCGGGGGCCCCUGGAUGGGAAGGACUGUGACAGGAAAGCACCUUAGGGGACUCUGGAUGUAUCUCUAGCUGUCUAAAUGCUGCGGCUCUUCAUCAUGCAUGCGGCUAUUCAUGUUAGCUUCUGAGAUGCACAGACUGGAAAAAGAAAGCCAAGCAGAACCUGAAAGAACUGGUCAAUGGUGAGGCGGGAUGGGAAAACAGGGAUUUGUCAGGAAGUCAGCAGCAUUCUCGGCCAUGUUACUAUUUGAGCUUAGAGGAUGGGCAGGGACAAGCGCUCAUCUUUGCCAAAAGCACGAAAUCCAAGAUCAGCUGGAAGAGUCGGAGGUGCCAGAGAUGGGGACCCUCUUCCCGGCAGAUCAGACUCACAGGGCCCACUGGGAGACCAUUAGAGAAAGCACAAGGGUCUGGAGAGGGGGCCGGCCCUGCCAGAUUCCUCAGUCAAAGCAGGCACUUCUGCUGGCUGCCGGUUGCAUUCGAGAAAGAGGAAAGAGGGCAAGACUUUGAUCCUUCACUGCAGGAAUGCUUCUCAAAUUACUGAGGAUCAGAGAAUGGCGUCCAGAAUGCUAAGAGAGAGGAGAAAGAAUAUGAAUGUGUGUGUGUGUACACAUGAUGCUCCUGUGUGGCUUCUAGCGGUGACAGUGUUUGGCUGGGAAGAUGCGCUGUGUGGGGCAUCCCCGAAUCAGGGUGGUAGGAGAGCUACCCAGAGAGAUGGCACAUUUUACCAAGGAAAAAAUUGUAUGUAUUUAUUAGCACACUGCCUUGAAUAUAUACUACAUACUUCAUUAGAGUGAUUUCACAGAGAUUUCAGAAUUAUUUGUGCUUGUUAAUUGCUGUGGAAACCAGGAAGAGAGUAGUUCAAAGGGGUUGGUCCUCCAGGUGUGGAUAGCGGGUAGAAAUAACUGAAAUUGGGAUUCUAGCAUGGAAGCCCCUGCUUUCGAAACUUAAAGUAUGCAUUCUUCUUUGCUGCUUUCAAAACCCCCUUCAUUUCCCUGCUGACAGAGAACUUUCCCUCAUGUCCCUCCCUCCUCCCUUGUUCCGGCUUCUCAGUGCUACCCAUCUCCCCGGCCUUCAAUACACCAUGAAGAGGGUAGAAAAAUUAACUUGACCCAGAGAAGGGAUGGCUUCCGGGGUCAGUCUAGUCUGGGCUACUUCCCAGGCCUGGGCCUCAGGCGAUUGGAACUUGCAUUUACUUCCGGUUGGUAAUACCAAGAAUGGGUCUAAUGUGACUUGGAUCCAUUGCUGAGCUCAUGUAAGAUAGCAAAGGCCACCAGUGAGUGAGGUGUUUACUUCGUUAUUGUCAUUUCCAUCACCCCUGAGGACACCCUGAAGCAGCAGUGACAGGUGGCCAUUUCUCACAACCAGCACUUGUGAGCCCCCGUGUCGGCUGGCACUGUGCCUGGGUGGGGGAGGGCUGAAGCCACCACCUCUGCCUUUGAGAAGGCUCUGAUCUCGUCGGGGAAAGCAUGGAGACGUGGACUAGAGGACAAUGACAGCUAGGACGAGGCCAAGAAUGCCACUGUGUGAAACCUAAUGUCACCGCUAUUGGCACUUUAAAAUGGGGUGCAUUUUGAAGAUUAAAUUUCUGUGUUGACGGGGAAAACUUUUUGAGACCCUGGGGAACAUCCUUCCAGAUGCUUUAACAACUUUCACAGUGUGGACUUGAGUCAAUGAAACUAUUCCUUACGGGCAAAGAUUCCCGAGAAGACUAGUACUUGCCAGAAACCAGCUGGGCAACAGUGGCACUUUUUAAACUAAAUUAAAAAAAAAUUGAGACAAUCGUGCUUGCCAUCUUUCCCUCUGAUACUCGGUGGUAACUAUGGAAGGACUCAACCAGUGGUUUGGGUCUGUGGUUCCCAAAUUCUGUUCCGGGGUGCCCCAGGGCACUGUGACGGACUCACAAGAGUGCCACGGAAUAUUGAAAGAUUUUCAAAGCGAACACAGUGACAUCUGCCAGGCACCACGCUAUUAAGUUGUUUUGACCUAACUGCCUAUUAAUGGAACUAUCAGGCAUUUCUUUCAGCCCAGGAGUACUGCAAAGCAGUCUUGGGACUCUCAGGGCACUUUGAGCUGAGAAUGUUCGGCAACUCUUUACGGAUUUAGUGUGGUGUCACCGCCUACCCAAUCUGAUGGACACCAGGCAAUAUGCCCGCUCACAGACGUGCCUUCUGCGUAUCCCCUCCUCAGGCUUGUCAUUGGCCAGUUCCUUUGAACUUGCCAUUGCCAAUCUCUUUCUGUAAAAUAGUUGAAUGUUUGGCGUGAGCUUGAUCUUGAUUCACAGCACCCACCUAUAGUUUGGCCCCAGAGGCAGCCAAAACUCACGCCUUUUGGGCUAAGAACGAUCCAGUGAGUCAGUGGCUGUGGUAGAGGCUGUGAGUUUUCAUCCUUGGGGCUGGCCCUCAAACGAUGCACAAAGGUUGCCUUUAGGCCGUCUGAUAAUGGCACCCGCCAACUUCUCCUCCUGGACCGUAUCACAUUCUUCCCUGAAGGUGCCAGCUGGAUCUCUGCUGACCCCCUUCCUCUCUCCCAUCGCCUUCCCCUGCAGGCCCUGAAGAAGCCUCUCCCCCUCUGUGCUCCCCUGUGGAUUCUGCUGUCCCCGGGGCUUCACUCAACGGUUGCCUUCAACUGCCAUCGGAAUUUUCUCUCUCUAAAAUUCUCGGAGGUUGGUGCUCUGGCCCUGCUGCCGGGAGGGCUAUCAGGCCUCAAGGAUGUGGUCCAGACCUUUGUGUGGGGACACAGCAGCUGGCACACUGGGGAUGCUCAGUGAACGUGUGAUGAAUCAACUUAGUAACUGAAUUCUCAGCACGGGUUCUGGGCCAGCCACACCUGCCUGUGAGACACUCUUGUCACUGCCUGACUGUUUUCCAGGGGCUCUCCCUGCCUUAGUUGAAGAGAAACUUGGUAUGGGAGCCUUGGCAGGCCCAGCAGAGGAGGUUUGUGGCUGGAGGACUUUGGCCCCCUCCUAUGGCCUCUCUCCUGUCCCACUGAGUUGUGCCUAUUCAUUGCCAAGGUUCUUGUGUCUUUUUGGGCAGGUGGCUGGGUGCGCACAACCCACAGAGAUGGGGCAGGGCUAUAUGGGGAUUUAUGUGCAGAAUUUAAUAACCUUUUGCCCUUCUCCUGGGCACCGGGAGAGAAGACUGGAUGUCUCUGAGGUAGAGGUGUCCACACCCCUUCCCUACCCGGGGGCCCUGCCUCCCAAGGCUUGGUGCUUCCUUGUUCCUAUGACUCCGAGACCGUCAGAGGCUGGAGAGGGGUGCACUGGGAGGGGGCUGGAGAAGAGGCCUCCCCUGCCUUUGACACCUGGACUGCUCAGUGCUGCCAUCCACUCUGUGUCAGCAUCGAGAGGGUGUUUUAGAGAUGGAAAAAGGCCCUGAUCUUUUCCAUUUUUUGAGUACCUUGAAUAUUAAAAAAAAAAAGAAAAAUGCCAAAAAUGGGUACAAAAAAUUGUAGGUUGUACAGUCUAUUUAAUUGCUGAAUAAAUGAAUGCUUUUUAACACAUAAAAGUAUAAUUAGGCUGGAUAGACCCUCCUUUGGAGGGAAGGCCUGUGGUUUGAGGCCCUUUGUGAAUGAGGUUCAGGACACGUGGCCCUCCUGGUGCUCUGCUCCUCUUCAUCCCCCACGUUAGGUCCAGGCAUCAUUGGGGGCUCUCCUGCCAGUGGGCUCAGGAUCCCACUUUCCUGGUGGACCCAGGCUCUCAGACCAACUCUGUGUCCCUGGGCAGGGGAGUAGAGCCCUCAGGCUGGCCUGGCUCGGCCUGUCACUGGCAGGGUCUCUUUGCUGGUUGGGAUCAACAGGAGGCCAAGGGAACACUCCAGGCAGUGCCUGGGUCACGGCGCCCUCCUCCUAGGUGGGGCCCAUCACUGGGGUCUCCAGGGCCUUGGUUACACACGGGCAAAGGAACCCCUAUAGCUCCCACUCAGGCCUUCUGUGCUUUCAGACCUAAGCAACAGCUCCACCACCGGGGGCGAACUUUCUGCUGGUUUCUUUGUGAUGGUAGCAGCUGUUGGCUCACUCCUCACGUGCCUAUGUUGGCUGGGCAUUGUGAUAAGAGCUGAGAAUGUGGUGAGGGUUAUUCCCAGUGGCUGUCCUAGAGGGGUUGACCAUUGACAUGGGAGAAAAGCACAAGAGCAUUGGUCACGUCCAUGUAACCGAGGGAGCGCUCUGCUCUGGUGGUGACAGAAUCCCAGAAGAGGGCUGCCCACAGGGGCCUAAGUUCCUGUGGGCUUCUGGAGCAGAGGGAGCCUGAGCUGAAUCCCAUGAAGAUAGGACUUAGCCAGGCCGGGAGUGGGUGGUGAGAGAAUUUAAGCGAUGGGGGCACCAGUGUGGGCAAAGGCACAAAGGUUAACAGGGCGAGGGGGAGAAAGGGGGGAACUGAGUAUCGAGGAAACAAGUGGGAGGUGGGUGUGGAGAGGGAUGGGGAGGCAGAGACAGUGAGCAGCAGGGCAGCACAAGGGUCAGACGGACGUUUGGAUGGAACUCUUUGGCUGCAGUCUGUGGGGGACAGAUCCAAGUGAGGUUAAGAGUAGGGCAAGAGUGCGGGCGGCUGCAAUGGACCGGGCAGGAGAUAGACGCUGAGCGUGGAGGACGGGAGGUGGGCUCGAGCGGAGGGAAUGAGUGAUUGCACGUGUAGGGGUGGCCCUGGGUACAUGCCACCAAAUAAGAAAGGAACAGAGUUGCAAGGUGGGGGUGACCAUGGCGAUGUCUCUGUGGCCUCAGGGGAAAUGGAAAGGAAGGUGUCCAUGGCUCCUGACUGGGCUAGGCUGUUGGACAUCAGCAUUCACGAGGCUUCUGUGAUCAGAGCUGAUGGGAGAUGCAGCCCAGGGAGGGUGGGGGGAGCGGUGGGCGAGGAGGGAUCCCUGGAGACAAAUGUGUAAGGGACAGGACCGAGGAGCCAGAUGAGGCAGAGAGAGCCAGGCAGGGGAGAGAGGAGAGUUUGGCAGAGAACCCAGAGAGUGAGGUGGGAGGGCUGUCCCCCACCAGCCUGUGAAGGAACUCCUGGAGGGCAGUGAUGUCCCCUAUGGUACCCAACAUGUCUGACAUACAGUAGGUACGAAAUUAAUGUUAUUAAAUCAUUGAGCACAAAUGCGGCACAGAGGCCAGUAAAAGGAGGGCUGAAAACGUCCAGUGGAUUUGGCAAUAAGGGUGGGGCAUUCCCCCAGGGAAAGGUAGGAGCGGGACCUAGAUUUCAGCGGAGCGAGGGAGGGAGCAGGCUGCUUUCUGGGUGGGGUUGGGUAGGGUAGGGAGGUGAGGAAAGAGAAGACAGAAAGUCCCUUUAUUCUGUUUAGAAGUUUGACCAAGACAGGAAGGAGAGAAAGUGCCAGACUCAUGAUUGGAGCAUUUUUAAAAAAUUAAAAAUAUCUUUUACUGCUCCAUCCCACCCACAUUAAGGAAAAAAUCCCACAUGCCUUAUAGAAAAGCUAGGAGAUACGUCUAAGGAAGAAGAAAAUAAAAAUAACCCGUAAUUCUACCCAUUGGAAAUAUAUACUGUUAAACCUGGAGUAACUUCCUUCCAGACUUUUGUUUUUGUUUUUUAGUAGAAAUAGUAUCACGCAGUACAUUCUUACUUUGCAAAGUAUCUUUUUCACUUAAUAUUUCUUGAAUACCUUUUUCUGUCCAAGCUACUAUUCUUCCAAAACAUCCUUUAAAGUUUUACCUACCUGUCUACCUGAUAGCUAAGAUUCAGAGGAUUCAAAAUGCAACAGGUACACACGAGCAUUCUGUGAAAAGUUGCCUGUCUCUGACCCACCCAGUUCUUGUCCCUGAAGCCAACUGGUAUUACAACACCCACUUGGGUGGUUAGAUAAUAUUCCCAUGCGUGACUGUUCCGAAAUUUAUUUAAAUAACUUCCCUGUCUUGGAUAUUUCGAUGCUAUUUAGUUUUAUUUUUCUAUUGUACAUGAGGCCAAGAUGAAUAUCCUUCUAGCAGAAUAUUUGUAUACAUACCUUAUUUUCUUAGAAUAAGUUUCUAAAAGUGGAAUUUCUGGGUCAGAAGGCAGAACAAAUUCAAAGUAAAAAUUGCCAUUCCAGAUUUUACCUUCAAGGAAAUUAACGUCAACUGACACUCCCACAGCAAAGCGUGAGAGUGUUUCCAGCCCCAACAGGCCCUCAGCUUGUGUUAUUAAAACUCAUUUCCUCCAACUGUGCCAACCUAGUGGGUGAAAGAUGGGGGUGAGCACCUCUAACCCUUGCUGUGAGUUGUAUUUUAAGAGAAACAAAUGGCACUUUGGGGGACAAAUGGGGAUUGGAUGUGGAGAGGGCAGCUCUGAGACUGGGAAGGACAAUAUCCAGCUGUGGGGCGAGGUGGCUGCAUUGUCAGUGAGGACCAAGCCUGGGGACAAGGCCCUUCUUCAUUUUCAGAGUAACCGCCAGCCGUGAGAAACGUAGGGGCCUCGAAAGAACCAGAACCUGUAGGCGAGGUCCAGGGAUAAUUGGUACCCAGGCACAGGCGUAGCGGUGAGAGUCUGGGUCCUUGUGCCCUCAGCUGUAGGGCUGCCUGACUCCUGAUUGGGGAAGGGAGGCUGAGCUCUGCUUGCAACACGUGCCAGCUGAGAGGGGAGACAGGAACACCGUGGAAAUCUGUUGCCCCCUCAGUCAUAAAUCCCAGGUCUUGCAAAGUGGGAGGGUAAACCUGGAUGUCGGGACGGGCAGGCUAUUCCCUCCACAUUCACCCUCCCUUUGGGACUCUCAAAAGUUCUUGCUCUCACCAUGCAGCCCUCAAGGGGAGCUGCUUUUCUUUGGCUUUUUUGCACACUGCGGACUCUAUAGACGAUUCUCUAGACUUUUUAGAGAUUUUUCCCUAAGAAAAACAAAAAAGAGAAACAAACAAGACAGUUUGAUUUACAGUAUGUAUUUACUCAUUUUUGGGCUAGGAUUGCCCGAGGUCACCCUGCAUUGCUUCCAGUCUGACUCCAAGAUUGGGAGGCCAGAUUUAACCCCUACCCCCAGGAGCACCUUCCGGGACUAGAAGCUUCCUAGAAAUUCACAUCCUAGAGAGCUGGCCCAAGAGUGAAAUGAGAGUCCCCACUCACCAUGAAUUUGGAGUUGGAUCUGCUAUAGCUCGGUUCUUCCUCAGUUAUGACUUCUUACUGGUUAUUCUUUUCAAAUAUUGUUUCUCUCCAAGGCCUUGUUUUGGUCUCAGGGGUCAUUUGCAGAGCCUGAAUUCCAGCUAGAUUCUUUAUUGGUCUCUGUUAGUUUCCUGGGGCUGUUGUUACAAAGGACCACGAGCUGCGUGGCUUAAAACAACAGAAACUUAUUGUCUCACAGUUCUAGAGAUCAGAAGUCUGAAAUCGAGGUGUCAGCAGGGUCGAUUCCUCCUGGAGGCUCGGAGGGAGUAUCCCUUCCCUGCCUCUCUCCUCGCUUCUGGUGGUUGCUGGCCAUCCUUUGUCUUCUUUGGCUUGGAGAAGCAUCACUCCACCCUCUGUCUCCACCUACACAUGGUGUUCUCCUCUCUGUACGCAUCUUUGUGUGUCCUCUCCUCUUCUUUUAAGGACACCAGGCAUUAGAUUUAGAGCCCACCCUAAGCCAGUAUGACCUCAUCUUAACUAAUUACAUGUGCAAAGGCUCUAUUUCCAAAUAAGGUCACGUUCUGAGAUUCUGGCUGGACAUGAAUUUUUGAGGGUCACCAUUAAACCCACUACAGUGUUUCUGCCUUCAGACACUUUCACCCACCAAUCCAAUCCUAUGUACCCUGUUGGAGCCAUUUUUCUCAAAGAAUGCUUAGCAGAAGUACCUCACCUUGCCUCAAAAUCCUUCAAUGACUUCCCACUGCCAACAGAAUAAAGUCCUAUCUCUUUAGCUCAGCUUUAGAAGGCUCCCCAUAGUCUGGUCCGAACAAUUUUUUCACAUUCCAUUUCUCUACUCUUCUACACACACCCUCCAAUCACAUUUGAAAGAUCUUCGACAUUGUUGAACGUGUUGUAAGCACUCUCAUCUCCUGCCCCAUCUCUGUUUCUUGACUAGAUGCCCUCCUUCUCAAACACCCGUGUCGUAUCAUACCUUUCCUCUCUCAUGAGAACAUUUCCAGCCAGCCAAGGUCGAAGGCUGCUCUUUGCUCACAGACCAACUUGACUCCACACUCUUCACCACUCCUCAGUCUGGAGGGAUGCUAUUCUCUGCUGGAGUCAAACUUUUACCCAAGAAUGAGCCUGUGUCUUAAACUUCUUUGGGUCCUUGGAUAUGAAAGUGGUGUAUUGAAUCAUGUGGCUUCAUGGUAAAUGAUUGUGGCUGCUGCUGCUGGUGUGAGUAUAUGAGGGGGUUGAUUUGGACCUGAAGUGAUGAGGACUAUCAUUUUUCAUUGCAUUAACGGAAUCACUCCAUGCCUAGAGCCCCACGAUGUCUACAGCAAAUGAAGAGCCCUGUGCUGAGAUGAAAUGAGGGCAAAGGAGAGAAUGCUUGCUGCUUUGAGAAUCAGGGGCAGCGAUCUUUCAAAGGAAGAGUGAAUGGGCAGAAUUGCUGCAGGAGAAGCGAAUCCUCCAGACCAGAUGCUGAGGGGCAGUGGGCUCAGUGGGAAAAUUGUAACCAUAUCCGAGGGGAAGCCCUGCCCCCAUCCUCCUGGAAGGACAAUUGGCGUGAGCAACAUGGCUGGCAGGGGUACGGCAGGGGAGGGAGGUAAAUGAGGGGACAUAUAGUGCAAUGAACGGAUUAGAUAUCAACACCUUGCACUAUCAGCUUUAAUAGAUGCUCUGAAAACUUGGAAGUAACAAGGACAUUUUUAUUCCAAAGAUUGUCAUUAGUGUCUUUUGCUAGCCCCUCCUAAGUGGCAGUGGUUGACCAUUGGCAACUGACUCUUCAAACUCUUCUCCAAAGCAGUGCAAGGAACUUAGUUCAUCUGGAUGCAGGUUUAUUCCAAACUUUCUUGCCUUGUGUGCUCUGUCCUUCCCCUCUGAUUAUGCUUCAGCCACAUCAAAGCCCCAUAGGCAUUGCCCUGGGGGAUCAAGAAGCGGUCCACCCAACAAAGAAGAGUAGAGGUACGAAGAAUCAGGGUGAGAAUUCUGGGCAGAUGCUCAAGGUGUGGGCUCCAGGCUGAGCCCAUGGACAUGUGACAUAAUACAUUUCAGAUAUGCCAGGACAAGUUUCCAGUGUCAAAAUCUUUGAAGCCAUCAGGUCUCUUUCUUGCUGAGUCUUGGUAAUAUUCCUUGUGUCAUAGAUUUAGAAAGUCAAGCUAAAGAAACACCUGAGGAAGAAUGCCUAUUUCUGGACUGUUUACGGACAGUUUGCAAUGGUGGCUCUGAUCCUUGCUCAAUUGACUCAUAGCUCUACAUGCACGGUCUUGCCUGGCUAGAUUCAUAAAAUAUUAUAGAAACAGGCCACCCUUAACUCCAUUAAAAACUUAUAGUUUCUUAGACAUUCCAUCUAAAUGGUUUGCCAGUUUUCCUCUUCAUAAAUUGCCAAUUUGGGUAUUUCAGCAGUCAAUAUUCAACACAAAAGGAAGAAUUUAGUCAAAUUUCUUUUGUCAGUAAGUCUUCUGUGUGACGUAUUUGUUUCCAGGUCCUAAUGACAAUUCUGCUCAGGUUCAAACAAAACAAAACCCCAAAACCAAGCAUACGAAAAGGAAUGAUUCAAGUUUGAGUUAGUCCUAUCCAUCCACAUAAAGACUAUACAUGAGUGUGACACGUUUUGAGAAUAAGGAAGGGGAGAGGAGACAUGAGGAAAUGGAUGCCUUGUUCAUGAUCCUGCGCUUAAGCAGUGAUUUUUCUCUACCACUCUGUGUUACUAGAAUUUUCCAACCACCUCUGACAAAAGGAGAGUACAAAGAACACUUGACACAAAGUAAAACGUGAAAAGAUCUUUCAGUGGUUCAGCGUCCUGGCUAUGAUUCAGAAUUAUCCAUUAGAUUAAAAAAAAUAUGCAUGUCCAGGUAUGCUCCAUAGCUCAGUCUGGCGCCAUUGUCCAAUAUCAGAAGGUUAGAGAAGAUGUGGUCAAUUAAUAUAACUCUUCUUGCCAUUUGCUGUCUCCAUUGAGGGACUCUGGGUUGGUCCAACUCUAGUCUAACUUCUGAAACAUCAAGGAUUCUAGGUAGUUGCUUCUGUGUUUCUUUUUCCAACUAGACAGUGAAUUCCUUGAGGGAAAGGAUGAUGUCCAUUUGGCUUUGCAUCUGCAAGGAAGCAGCUCAGUAGCACAUAAGAACACUCUGGUACAUUCUUUUCGAAUGACAGUGGUUUAAAAACAGCAAGGUCCUGUGUAAAGGUAGGAUGUUAUGCUCCUGAUUUCCUUCAGAGUAUAUAAAUAUUUGAUAUGAGGUUGCACCAGGAUUGGGAUUCUGACUCAUAGCAGUGCUGGUACCCAGGGAUCCAUAACUUAGAGACAGAAGAGAUGGAGCUCUGGUGGAAAGGGUGGAGCCAAUGGGAAAUUGUGGUGUGGGUGUUAGGGAUGGAGGGUGAAUUAGUUUCCUACUGCUGCUGUAAUAAGUUACGACAAGAUGAGGGGGUGAAAACAACACAAAUUGUCUUAAUGUUCUGCAGGUGAGAAGUUCAAAGUGGGUCCCACUGGGCUAAAAUCCAGACAUUGGCAAGACUGUGUUCCUUCAGGAGGCUUUAGGGGAGAACAGUCGUCUUGCCUUUUCCCAUUUCUAGUGGCCAUCUGCAUCCUUUGGCUCAUCGUCCCUUCCUCCAUCUUCAAAGCAGCAUCUUCAAAUCUCUGCCUCUGACACUGACCCUCCUGCCUCCCUCUUUCACUUAUAAGGACCCUUAAGAUUACACUGGGCUCACUCGGAUAAUCCAGGAUAAACUCCCCAUCUCAAGGUUACCUGAUUGGUUGCCUAAUUCCAUCUGCAACCUUAAUUCCCCCUUGCCAGGUAACAUAACAUAUUCACAGGUUCUGGGGAGCAGGAAAUGGACAUCUUUGGGUGUGGGGGGAGAAGUAUUCUUCUACCACAGAAGGACACUUGGACAUUAUGGAGUCCAGUGUCCUCAUUCUACACGUGAGGAAACUCAGGUUCACAGGGUUUCUGUGAAUUCCAACUGUUUCCUCCACAGGAGAGUAAAUUCCUUCUGAGACCAUCUGUACGUAGAACCCUAAGCAAGAUUCAGCAGGAGGCUGCUGGCUUCCUCUUUCUGCAGUUCUUCCUUCUACACCUGUGCCUCGUGGCUUUCCCGCCCCAUUCAGGGAGGGAUGCCGAAGGGUGUGUUGGGGGGCACAUCUCACCCACAUUCAGACUGAACGGAGAGUAGCCAUUGUAUGGAGUCAGAGAAUGGAUUGGAUCCAUCUCCAAGGACCUUAUUGUUUUGGCAGAAGCACAAACUCUUAGAAAUGCUGCAAGUGCCCAGUUAGGGACACUGAGCUCAGUGACGAGGGGACCCAAGAGUCUGAAAUCCUGGAAUUUCUCCCCAAGGAGGUCCAUGAAGGGGAACUACAGGGUGAGCACCAGCUGGUUGGUUCACAACCGACAGUGACGCUUGCUGCCUGGGCAGCUGCUGUGGGUUUCUCAGUCUGAGACCCUGUCGGACCAGGGCUGGCUCCUGGCAAAAGAGGGUUUCAGCUGCUGGGUUUCCUUUGAGGAGAUGCUGGUGAUUCUGGUCUCAGAGCCCAAGUUUAAGGCAGCAGGUGGUCCAGUAGGUACAACAGCAGCUCUCCUGUCAAAGUCAGGGCCAGAGGAGAAGACACAGGAAGACUUACUGCGCGAAACUUCUACCUGGAAAGAGUAAACUAUGGUCUGGGAGAGCAGAUGCCCAAGGGAGGGGUCAGGUCUCAUUCCUAAAGUCCCCUCCUUCCACAUCACUCCAUCUAGGUAGCUGCUGAGCCCUUUACACUCACCACUGUACCUAGAGCAAGAAACCAAUGAGAACCUGGCCUCUGGCCAUGGACACAAGGGCCUAGGAUCUUGCUUGGAAAGUGAAUUCCUCAGAACUCUGAGAUGCAGCCAGUUUUGGGAGGAAGAUGAGGCGCUGAGGAGAAACAGUAGGGAUCACUGAGGAAGGCAGCCCUGGCCUCUGGAGGAGGCUCACGUGGCUCUGUGAAGCACACAGGGGCUACCUGUAAAAUGACCCAUGACCACCCUUUCUUCUUCUCUGGAGGCUCUUGACAGAGUGACUGGGUCCCACCUCAGAGAGCUACCGCAGUAUAGUACUGCACAAUGCCCCUUCUUCCCCAGCAACUGACUGGGGGAGAGAAGAACCCUGACCCCCAGGGAUGGACAGUGAAAAGCAAAUCAAGGUGUCUACCAGCCAGGUGAGAGCCGUAUGGCCGAGGUCUGGGGGAACUGGGAUCCCCAUGGGGUAGCUCUUUUUCUAUUAAGAGGAAGUCUUUAGCGUAUUCCUGACUAACACCCACUAUUCUCGGAGAAGAGACACAGCUCCAAAAGGGCAAAGGGACCUUUGCAGGAAAAUGUGUAUGGACAAAAUUGGGGAAAACAUGAGAAAAUGGCCUGGGGAUUUGGCUGAAGUUGAGGUUGGUUGUUCUGGUGGUUGUUUGUGGUCCUGGGGAAAGAUGGAGAACAGGUGAGCAGGUUGUGCUUCUGAGGAGACAGGUAUCAAGGAAGAACGAGGGGGGUGGUAUUCAUCAGCCUGAGGGACAUUUCUUUGUGGAAAUGAACCCUAGAUGGGUAGCGAUGACAGAGGAUGCUCACUGGGCAGCGAGGGUGGCACCCCGCCUCCACAGUGGUGUUAAAAGCUGGCUGGCCCAGGGGAGGAGAGAGGCCUCGUGUACUUUGUCUGCACCCACAGCUGCAGACAGGAAGGCAGGGUGCCCGCCUCUCCCAAGGAAGAGUCAGUUCAGGAGCACAGCAGCCCACGCCCCCGGGGAGGCCCCUGGCUCCUUCUGCUGGGGCCUUCCAAUAGGUGAGCUCCUCUAGUCCCUGGCGGAAAGCGGGUCCUAGAGGAAGGGCAGACUGCCAACUGGUGAGCAGCUGGACUGGAUGUCCCCUGUUGCCACUUGGGACUCCAGUGGCCUCUGAAUCUCUUUCUCAGAGACUGGGCAGCAGCUACCCGGGGCCUUGUUGGGCUCUGGGCUCUCUUGCCAGGAGUUCCUGGGUUGGGAAGGCUGAGAGUUAAGACUUUCUUUUAGGAACUCAGUGGUCAGCUGUAAAAUAUAUAAUGACCCACGACGGCCCCUCUUCUUCUCUUGGGGUUCCUGACAGCUUCUGAGCUGUACAGACCGGAAUACGAGAACCUAGCAGAAAUGGAAGGAGAAGCAACAGAUAAGGUCUUUAGGCCUGAAACGAGGCUGCAGGAGCAGCUUCUGAGCCCCUCUUCCUGGGGGGGUGAGAGCUAAAACGUCAUGGGGAGCCUAUUCAAGAAAGCUCACAGUUUCUAGGGAAGGGGCAGCCCCUUUGGGACUGAUGAGCUCAUCUACAGUUGGCCAAGUUUGCAUUUCUCAGAAGGACCCUUGUGGCCUCUUGUGUUAUUGCCUAUGAGUGGAGACUGGAUCUUGAGCAAAGAAAAUCUUGUAGGCUCUGGAGCAAGGAGAGCCCCCAAAGAUACGUGGGUAGAGGCAGCCAUUUCUGGGAGCUGAGGUGGGCCUGGCUGAGAAAUCCCAGCGUCGGCAUGGUAUAAUCCAGUUAUUUCUGGUUCACCGGAAACCAAGAACUUAGGAGAAAUUGAGUUCAUUUCUAGAAUUUCUGUCCCCAAACCACCGGUUAGGUUUGUUUUUAACCCACUUAGCACAGGAGUUUGACAAUGGCUGUCAGGUAAUGUGUUUGAAAAUCUGGUAUGACAAGACCGUCAUUAUUUUAAAGCUCUAUAAAGUGUCCAAUUGGUUAUUGUUCUAGAUGAGUUUGAGUAUGACUUGUCAAGGUUUCUAAUGUAGCCUUACCUGUAAUGGCAUUAAACCUAUGGAUUCACUUGGGAAGUAAAGUCAUUGCUGUUGGAUCUAGUGUUUUCAAUUAAGAGCAGCCUGCAGAGAAAGGCAGUGGAUGUAGUGGUUAGUAACACAGACCCUGAAGCCUGCUGUCAGGGGGUGGGUCUCUACUUUGCCACUGAGUGUGACCUUGGGCAAACUCCUUAAUCUUUCUAUGCCACAGUUUCCUCAUCUGUAAAAUGGGGAUAAAAAUAAUAUCUUACUCACAGGGUUAUGUGAAGAUUGAAUGAGUUAAUAGAUGUAAAAUAUAUAGAACAGUGCUUGGCACGUACUAAGGACUCAAAUGUUAACUAAUAUUAUUAUCUCUUAUUUUAUUUCAGUUCUUAAAAUAAUGUUUUUCCUUCCUGUGGAUUUUGCAAUGUUUUUUUGGAGGAAAAUCCAGUCCUUCCUUUGCCUGUCUUGACAGCAUGCCCAGGAAACGAGAUGUUUUGUUUUGGGACUGAUGAUUCUGGAAAGAUGUUAGGAAUAGUACAUGGGAAUGGAAUCUUCCAGUAACAUUAGUCUAUACCUAGCGUCAAGCCAUGCGCCCUUUACAACAGUGUGGGCUUGGCAAAUGGUUGAUAAAUAAUUUCAGUACAUUCACCGAAUUAUUUUGGGUUGUUUCUAGGUCCAGACUCCAGGCAAAUGUCAUUGGAAAGUAGCCAGCAUGGAGAUCCCACAGUACCCCUCCCUCUAGUAUUCUGAUAUUCUCUGGAGCUGGGAAGCUGGCAAAAAAAAUAAAUAAAUAAAUAAAUAAUCAAGAUUUUAAAGUUUCAAUGGAUUGUUUUCUGUUUCUUUCUACAUUCUCUCCACAUCCUCUCUGGUGGAAGCCCGCCUGUUUUCCUAGCAUCACUGAAGAAUAUGGCGGCCUCCAUUCCAGCUUGAGGUCUGCCCCUUCCUAGGCAGCCGUGAGCUUUCAGUUGAGACACUUGGCAUCCGUUAAAAGGAGAAUAAUAAAAAACGUCAUAGCCAUCUCACUGGCUAUUUCUUCCAGUUGGUGGGAUAGUGCCUGUAAAAAUGUUUUAAAAACAGAGGAAGUGGCAAAUUGGCCUCCAUGAUAAACAGAACUUGAUGCCACAUUUUCUAAAAGUUAAAAUCUCAAUGAACAGAGCAACCCCUAGUGUUUUAUUUCUCGGGGCAAAUGCUGUGUUGCAUUUACGCAUCUGCAAUGUUUUACCAAGAUCCAAGGGGGGUUGUUAUCUUAAUUAACAGGGAGUCUUUCGUUUAUAUAUAGAACUUUUAAUGUAUUUGGAGCUUUUAAUAGAUUUGCAUCUUGCAACUUAUAGUAUCUCACCCCCUGAAGGAGGUAGGGUGCACAUGGUGGAGCAGCUGAUCCUUAAAUUCCAGCCCCUCCCCAUUCUCCCCUCAACCCUGGGCUGCUGGGUGCUCCUUUGAGUGUAGGAGGUGUCAGAGGUACAGGAAGUACAGCUCCUGGGCCUCUGAUGGCUGCGGGGGAGGAUGACUUUAGGGUCUCAUUCAAAAACUGGCCAUGAGCCCAGCCUGGCACGGGAUCUCUGUCUCUGAGUUAAUGGUGUGGGGGCUCCCAGCAGUGGUUGACCCAAUGGACCAACUCCAUUGUAGGAAAUGUAGGCUCUGCUUCUAUAGUGUCCCAAAUGGGGUGUGGGGUGACAAUGUGGAAGUGACAGUGGUUGAAACAACUCCUACCCUUCAACCCCUAGGGUUGCCUUGGACAGAGGCCAAAGGAAGGAGAUAGGAAUACACAGGGAUUUGUGCUUUGUAUUUUUUUUUUUCAUUGAGAAGGGGGAAUUGUGAGGGAGAAUAAAAAAGGCUGUGGAAAAGGAAGGCUUGUUUGUUUUAAGGGAAAUUAGAGUGGGAUCAGGAAAGACAGUCCUUCCAAAUGAUAUUUAGUUAACACUGGGGCUCUGGGGUGAUAAUGGCUAUUGUUUUUGAGUUCUUAUUAUCUACCUGGCACUGGCUAGGUUCUCCAAUUGGGUAUGGACUUCUCAAGUCACAAACCCCACUGUAGAUGAAAUACCUUCUAUGACUCAAUUUCUAUUCAGGGUUCACAUUUCAUCCAAUAGUAGAAACUUAAUCAAUUCAAGAUAAUUCAGCCAAUCUCAGUUUUCUUAGCAUGCUUGGGAGUUGGCAAAUUUAUUCUUUCCCCAGGGAGUUGCAUCUAAGAUCUGGGGACCUUAACAGACAUUGAGGGGGAGGGGGUGAUUGUGGGAGAGUGGUGGUCUUGAGAGCUAGUCUCCUUGGAUCCUAACCCUGACAAGUUUUGGGGCCUGUGGGACUUCUCCCAGCCACUUGUGUGUGUGUCAUCUCAGCUUCUCUCUCCUGAACCCCCAGGAGGCUGCAGGUCCUCUGGGCCCAUUUCAGCCCUGUGACAGCUUUGCCUUUGGCCGCCUUCCUUUACAGGCGCAUGAGCAAGUUCUUGGGCCUCGCAGCUUGUCUGGGCCCCUCUGAGCCAGCGUGGGCUUCAGAGGCACUCUGCACAGUCCUGCUGUGUUGCUUUCUUCCCAGCCUAGAUGCUGGCCUUUCCCUGGGAACACCUCCCUCUCCGAGGUGCAGGUGUGGAAGUAGGAACAGGGAUGCUCGAGCAAGUCUUCCUCCAAACCCACUUUUAUGCCAGGACUUGGCCUUCCAAUCCUCUCCAAAGACACUGGCUGGUUUCUCUUUGCAUCUCGGCUAGAACAACCUGGCCCUGAAGGCAGGGAGUGGAUGCUGCCCGGACCAAGAGGAGGAGCAGUUAAGACACACGGGCACAUGUUUUAAAGUCUUGUGAUGCCUGCUUGUUCUCUCUGCUUCAACUAUUCUGAAGUAUUUGCUGCAUCCCCAUUCUGUGACUACAAGGCUGAGACACAUCCGGAGGGAUGUUUUUGGUCCCCUAUCAUGAGGUGGGAAGUGGCAGAGGUGGGGUCCAGAGUUAGGAUCUUUUCACUCCAGCUCCCAGUCUGUCCUCUCUACCAAGCCCUGAUCUCUAAAAUGAAAGCCCUCAUCAGCGUGUUCUGUUUCAGGGGCAACAUCGCUCUGCCUUGAGCCUUUCCUCAUUCUUCAGAGCAUUAUUUACAAUAGCCAAGAUAUGGAAGCAAGCAAGGUGUCCAUGGAUAGAUGACUGGAUAAAGAAGAUGUGGUACAUAUACACGAUGGAAUAUUACUCCGCCAUGAAAAAUAACGAAAUCUUGCCAUUUGAAACAACAUGGAUGGACCUAGAGGGUAUUAUGCUAAGUGAAAUAAGUCAGACAGAGAAAGACCAAUACCAUAUGGUUGCACUUAUAUGUGGGAUCUAAAAAAUAAAAGACAUAAACAAGACAAAACAGAAACUCAUAAAUACAAAGAACCUCCUGGUGGUUGCCAGAGGGAAGAAGGUGGGUGAUGGGCAAAACAGGUGAAGGAGAUUAAGAGGCACAAACUUCCAGUUAUAAAAUAAAUACGUCAUGGGGAUGUAAUGUACAGCAAAGGGAAUAUAGUCAAUAAUACUGUAAUUACUUUGUGUGGUGACAGAUGGUAACUAGACUUAUCAUGGUCAUCACUUUAUAACAUACAUAAAUGUCGAAUCAGUAUGUUGUGCACGUGAAACUAGUAUAAUAUUGUAUGUCAAGUAUGCUUCAAUAAAAAAAAGUAGAGCCAGCCACCAUGGCCUAGCGGUUAAAUUCAGUUCCCAGGCAUGGACAUACACCACUCAUCUGUCAAUGGCCAUGCUGUGGUGGUGGCUCACAUAGAAAAAAAGGAAGGAUUGGUAGCAGAUGUUAGCUCAGGGCAAAUCUUCCGAGCAAAAAAAAAAAAAAAAUGGUAAAUUUAAUGAGUACGUUUUAAGAAAAGCAAUUCUCCAGAUUUCUGUAAGAAUUUUCUUAACACGCCUCAAAGGAUCCAGAAGUCCCAGAAGUCCUCAGUCUGCAUCCUCUGAUUAGACUCGCUCUUCCUGAAGCAGCAGUGCUCAAGUUCAUAAAUGAUUUCCUACCCAGUUCUGUUGUGUUGUGAUUUAGUUACUACCUUCCAUGAUUAUUUCCUACUCUUCAAAUGCAUUGUUAUAUUAUUAGUUUCAUAGGUUUCUGUGGGCUAAACUUGGAACCUUACCACAACCGAUUGCAUUAUUUCUUUAGAAGUGUGUUUCGAGUUCCUUAUCCAAUGUCUAGAUGUCUUUUUAGGACUCAUUCUUUUCAGCGGGAAACUUCUUAUGUUUUGAUAUUAAAUUUAGGCAAAUUUUCUCUCUGGCAAACAAUUUGAGAAAAAUGUGGUAUCUUUAUUAUUUUAGCCUAAGAGUUUAGCUCCUGCAAUAGUAUGUACUACUCAAAAAUGCAGGCACGAAGUUUAUAGAGCAGGGAGGAUUAUUAAGAAAAACAGACUAAGAGAAAUGGACAUCUUUCCCCAUCCUCAUCCCAGGAAAGAGAGGCUGGCGCCAUUGGGUUUCUUUAUUAAUGUUUAUUUCCCUUUCCUAAGAUUUCUCUCCGUUAGUGAUUAUUUGCAUGUGUAUCAUAAGGAAGGCCAAAGGGAUUGAAUGAACCUGUGUCCCUUAGUGGCAGAUAGAAUAAAUCAACUUUCAGCAAGUGGUCAGGUCAAGCUGCAGGCCCUUGGGUCUCUAAGGCCCCUGAGAGGAUGAUAGCUGAUGUCUAAGGGGUCAGUCAUCUUCAAGCCCAAGAAGGGCUUCAAGAAGGGUUGAUGAAUUGGCACAACCCAAAGACGGUUUUCAUUUUCUUCCAAGACUGGGAAAGAUGAGUGGGGCUACAUGGCAAGACCAGUGCCCCAUUGGUUGGGCACCAGUGUUUGGCCACAUAUCUGGAAAAUCCAGGCUAGCAUGGAAUUUCACAGACUUCUCCAAAAUUCCAGGGGCACUGAGUAUACUUGAUGGAUAUUUGCACUCACGACGCACCACCCUUAUGCCCUAGAAUCCGUUGGGCUGUUUCAGUGCAUCCUUCCCAGCCCUCCUGAGGCUUUGGUGUGCCUGGGAAUUUACAUUCCCCCUCCCAGCCCAGGAUCUGACCCCUCACCUUUUUUUUUCCACACUAACCAGGGGUUUAAUAGAAAUACAACCAGAACAGAAAAACUCAAAUCAUACAUAAAUCCAAACCAGAAUGCCAAGUGAUCAACACAAAGAGCAGAAUUUUUGACUCUUCAACUCAGUCAGCCCCCAAAUAAAAACCAACAAAGAUAGUGGAUCAAGAGAAUAGAGACAAAGAGUCACGUGAAGCUACAGGAGGAGAGUUGGGGAUGUUAUGUGUGUGUCACAGGGAACAGUCAAAGAAGACCCCAUGGUCAGGGCAGACCAUGGGCCAGGAUGGCCUAGCCGAUAGUGAGAGCCCACCUCCUUUGCCUGCCAAAUGGACAGCUCUGAGGAGGACUUCUACUCCAGAAUUGCCCUGUAGAAGGCAGCUGAAAGUCACCCUCUGGGGGUUUAGUCUGAAAUUGUACCCCUGACUGCCAUCCUCCCAGUUUUUGCCCUGCUUGCCCCGUUCUCUUGUGGUUUUCUCCUGGGAGCUCUUCCUUAGUCCAAUGUUGGGACACAAAUCUUUGUCUUACGGUCUGCUUCUGGGAAACCCUACCUAAGUCAGUGGUUCUUUCUGAAUGUGAGCCACAGUGGAGGGCAUGCUAGUGGUUAGGUCCUGCCUGUCUACUAGUCAACAUGUAGAGUGUUCUUUAAGCAGGACAAUCUUUUGCGAAAAGCCUCCCACCCAGAGACAUUAGUAGUUUCCCUCAUGGGCAUGGAAUUGGGUGGCCAGGACCUAGAACAAAGGCAGGUCCCUAGAUGAGCCCUAAAUAAACAUUGUUCCUGGUGGCCAUGGACUGGCCUCCAUCCUAGGCAAAGGAACCAGGCGAUAGGCAAGGUGAACGUGUAAAUAAUAAAGAGCUAUUGAAGGACCAAAUCCUAGGGUAAAAGCUAACAAAAGGAGUGACAGAGAUGGAGAGACUAAUAAUGGCGUACUUAUUAGAGAUGCUUCCUUGGGGAGCAGUGGUAGCUGUUGUGUCUCCAAAUCAGAAAGUUAUACCGCCAGCACCAUUCUACUCACUAUUGCUGUGUAACAAACCCCUCCCAAACUUAGUGGCUUAGAAUAACAGCAAUCAUUUAUUUUGCUUAUAAGUCUGCAAUUUGGGCAGGGCUCAAUGGGGACUGCUUAUCUCUGCUCCACGUGCUGGUGGCUUAGGUGGCUCAACUGGGGCUGGAAGGCUCACUUCUAGGAUGGCUCGUUCACGUGGCUGGCAAGUUGGUGUUGGAUUUCAGCUCCUUUCACAUGGAUCUUUUCACAGAGAAGAUUGAACUUCCUCACAGUAUGACAUCUAGCUUCCAAGAGCAACUGCCCUAAGAAUCAGGGAGUGGAAAUUGAUGGUUUAAGAUGUUAGCCUGGAAACUGGCACAGCGUCACUACUGCUGUAUUUUGUUGGUCAGUCACAGAGCCCAGAUUCAAGUGGAAGGGUCAACGACCCCAUCUAUCAAUGAAAGGAAUAUCAAUACAUUUUGCAGCCGUGUUUUUAAACUGCCACAAGCAUCUUCCAUCAAAUUGAGGCAGCUGGAAACCUGCGAGUCAUCUUUGCUGCCUCCAUUUCCUUUAUCCCUACGUUUAAUGCACCACUAAGACCUGUUUUUUAUUGUGGUAAAAUACACAUAACAUAAAAUUCACCAAUUUAUUUUUAAUUUUUAAAAAUUUUUAAAUUUUUGGUGAGGAAGAUUCACCCUGAGCUAACACCUGUGCCAAUUUUCCUCUGUUUUGUAUGUGGGAUGCCUCCACAGCAUGGCUGAUGAGUGGAGUAGGUCUGUGUCUGAGAUCUGAACCUGAGAACCCAGGCAACCAAGGAGGAGUUGGGAAAACUUCAACCACUCAGCCACGGGGCUGGCUCCAAAUUCACCAUUUUGAUAAUUUUAAAGUAUACAAUUCAGUGGCAUUUAGUACAUUUAUGACUUAAAUGUAAACCUUCACCAAUAUCUAGAUUCAGAGCAUUUCCAUCAUUCCAAAAAGAAACUCUGGAGCCAGCCCUGAUGGCCUAGUGGUGAAAGUUCAGCACACUCUCCUUCAGCAGCCCAGGUUCACUUCCUGGGUGCAGAACCACACCUCCCCGUCUGUCCAUUGCCAUGCUGUGGCAGUGGCUCACGCGGAAGAACUAGAAAGACUUACAACUAGAAUAUACAACUAUGUACUGGCGUUUGGGGAGGAAAAAUAGAGACAGAGAGAGAGAGGAAGAUUGGCAACAGAUGUUAGCUCAGAUCUAAUCUUUAAAAAAAAACACAACUCUGUAUCCAUUUGUUACUCCAUUCCUCCUACCCCCCAGCCCCUGGCCAUGACAAAUCUGCUUUCUAUCUCUGUGGAUUUGCCAAUGCUGGAUAUUUCAUAUGCUGGAAUCAUACAAUAUGCGGCCUUUGUGUUUGGCUUCUUCCACUUAGCAUAAUAUUUUCAAGGUUUAUCCAUGUUAUAACAUGUAUCAGUAUUUCAUUUCUUUGUAUUGCUGAGUAAUAUUCCAUCAUAUGGAUAUACCACAUUUUGUUUAUCCAUUUAUCAGUUGAUGACAUUUGAGUUGUUCCCACUUUUGGCUAUUGUGAGUAGUGCUGCUAUGAAUAUUUGUAUAUAAGUUUUUGUUUGAACACCUGAUUUCAAUUCCUUUGGGUAUAUAUCUAGGAGUAGAAUUGCUGCAUCAUAUGGUAAUUCCACGUUUAACUUAUUGAGGAACUCCCAUACUGUUUUCCAUAGUGGCUGCAUCAUUUCAACUUACCACCAACAAUGUAUGAGGGCUCCAAUUUUUCCACAUUCUCACCAAGACUUGUUAUUUUCUAUCGUGAGUGUAAAGUGGUAACUUGUGGUUUUGGUUUGCAUUUCCCUAACGACUAAUGAUGCUGAGCAUCUUUUCAUGCUUGGUCUGUUGGUCAUUUGUAUUUCUUCUUUGGAGAAAUGUCUGUUCAAGCCUUUGGACAUUUUUUAAUUGGGUUGUCUUUUUGUUGUUGACUUGUAAGAGUUUCUUGUAUAUUCUGGACACUAGACACUUCCCAGAUAUAUAAUUAAAAAUAUUUUUCUCCCAGUCUGUCAGUUGUCUUUUUUACUGUCUUUAUAGAGUUCUUUGGUAAAUAAAAGUUUUAAAUUUUGAUGAAGUCUAAUUUACUUUUUCUUUUGUUGCUGCUUUUGGUAUUUCUGAAAAUCCAUUGCCAAUUUUUUUUUAUUUUUUUGAGGAAGAUUAGCACUGAGCUAACGUCUGCUGCCAAUCCUUCUCUUUUUGCUGAGGAAUACUGGCUCUGAGCUAACAUUCAUGCCCAUCUUCCUCCACUUUAUAUGUGGGAUGCCUGCCACAGCAUGGCUUGAUAAGCGAUGUGUAGGUCUGCACUCAGGAUUAGAACCUGUUAAACCCAGGCUGCUGAAGCCAAACGUGCGAACUUAAGUCCUGUGCUACUGGGCUGGCCCCUCCAUUGCCAAAUUUAAGGUCAUGAAGACUUACUACUGUUUUCUUCUAACAGUUUUAUAAUUUUAGCCUUUAUAUUUAGGUCUUUGAUCUUUUUUGAGUCAAUUUUUGUAUAUGAUGUGAGGUAAGAGUCUGACUUCAUUCUUUCGUAUGUGGAUAUCCAGUUGUCCCAGGACCGUUUGUUGAAAAGAUGAUUCUUUCCUCAUUAAGUGGUCUUGGUACCCUUGUCAAAAGUCAAUUGCCCAUAGAUGGAUGGGUUUAUUUCUGGACUUUUAAUUCUAUUCCAUCGAUCCAUAUGCCUAUCCUUAUGCCAGUACCACACUAUUUUGAUUACUCUUAGCAUUGUAUUAACUUUUGAGAUUGGGAAGUGUGUAUUUUCCAAUAUUGUUCUUUUUGAAGAUUAUUUUGGCCAUUUGGGGUCCCUUAUAAUUUCACAUGAAUUUUGGGAUUGGCUUUUCCAUUUUGGCAAAAAAGACCACUGAGAAUUUGAUAGAGAUUGUGUUGACUCUGUGGAACGUCAGGGAGUAUUGUGAUGUUAACAAUAUUAAGUCUUCCAAUAAAUGAACACAGGAUGUCUGUCCAUUUGUUUAGGCCUUUAAUUUCUCUGAGCAAUGUUUUGUAGGAUUCAGUGUACAAUUCUUGUAUCUCCUUUGUUAAAUUUAUUCCUAAGUAUUUUAUCCUUUAGAUGCUAUUGUAACUGGAAUUGUUCUCUUAAUUUUCUUUUCAGAUUGUUUAUUGCUAGUGUAGAGAAAUACAACAGAUUUCUGUAUGUUGAUCUUGUAUCCUGUAACUUUGCUGAACUCAUUUGUUAGCUCCAAUAGUUUUUCAUCGAUUUUAUCUUAAAAAGAUUUAAUCUGGGGCCAGCCCGGUGGUGCAGCAGUUAAGUUCGCACGUUCCACUUCGGCAGCCCGGGGUUUGCCAAUUCGGAUCCCGGGUGUGGACAUGGCACCAUUUGACACGCCAUGCUGUGGUAGGCAGCCCACAUAUAAAGUAGAGGAAGAUGGGCACGGAUGUUAGCUCAGGGCCAGUCUUCCUCAGCAAAAAGAGGAGGACUGGCAGGUUAGCUCAGGGCUAAUCUUGCUCAAAAAAAAAAAAAGAUUUAAUCUUAUAUAGAUUUUCUCUAUAUUAGAUCAUGUUGUCUGUUAUCUGCAAGUAGAGAGAGUUUUACUUCUUCCUUUCCAAUCUGAGUGCCUUUUAUCUCUUUUUCUUGCCUUAUUGGACUGUCUAGAACUUACAGUACAGUGAUAAACGGAAGUGGAAAACGUGUUCAUCAUUAUCUUGUUCCUGAUUGAGAGGAAAGCUUUCAGUCUUUCACCAUUGAGUUUGUUAGCUGUGGGUUUUUCACAAAUAUGUUUGAUCACGUUGAGGAAAUUGCCUUUUUUCCUAGUUUGUUGAGUGUUUUUAUCACAAAAGGGUGUUCAAUUUAGUCAAAAAUUUUUUCUGUAUCAAUUGAAAUGAUCAUAUGAUAUUUUCUUUCAUUUUAUUAACGUGGUGCAUUAUAUUAGUUGAUUUUUAUAUGUUGAACUACCCUUGACAUCCUGGAGUAAAUCCUACUUGGUCUUGGUGGAUAGCCAUCUUAAUGUGCUGCUGCAUUCAGUUUGCUAGUAUUUUGUUAAGAAUUUUUGCAUCUGUAUCCACAAGGGCUAUUGGUCUGGGUUUUCUUUUGAUGGGUUUGGCUUUGGUACCAUGGUAAUGUUGGCCUUGUAGAAUGUUAGGAAGUAUUCUCUCCUCUUAAGUUUUUGGGAAGAUUUUGAGAAAGAUUGGUGUUAAUUCUUUUUUAAAGUUGGUUUGGUUGAAUUCAUCAGUGAAACCAUUUGAUCCUGGGCUUUUGUUGUUAUUGGGAAGUUUUUAAGUGUUGAUCCAAUCUCUUUACUGGUUAUAGGUCUGUUCAGAUUUUCUAUAUCUUCUUGAGUCAGUUUUGAUAGUUUGUGUGUUUUUAGGAAUUUCAUUUCAAUUCAUCUAGAUUAUCUAAUUUGUUGCUGUACAAUUUUUUAUAGUAGUCUUUUAUAAUCCUUUAUACUUGUGUAAUGUCCCCACUUUCAUUUAAGUUUUAGUAAUUUGAGUCUUCCUUCUGUUUUUCCUGGUCAGUCUAGCUAUAAGUUUAAUUUUGUUGAUAUUUUCAAAGAAUCAACUUUUGUUUUCAUUGAUUCUCUCUAUUGUUUUCCUAUUCUCUAUUUCAUUUAUCUCCACUCUAAUGUUUAUUAUUUCCUCCUUCUGCUAGUUUUUGGUUUAUCUGCUCUUCUUUUUUUUAGUUCCUGAACAUGUAAAGUUAGGUUGUUGAUUUGAGAUCUUAUUUUUUAAUGUAGGCAUUUACAGUUAUAAAUUUCCCUCUGAGAGCUCCUUUUUCUGCAUCCCAUAAGUUUUGGGAUCUUGUGUUUUAAUAUUCUUUUGUCUCAAAGGAUUUGCUAAGUCUCCUUGUGAUUUCUUCUUUGACCCAUUGAUUGUUUAAGAGUGUGUUGUUUAAUUUCUGCAUUUUUGUGAAUUUUCCAGCUUUCCUUCUGUUAUUGAUUUCUAGUUUCACUGCAUUAUUGCCUGAGAAGAUACUUUGUGGGUAAUUUCAACCUUUUAAAAUUUACUGAAACUUGUUUUGUGGCCUGACAUACGAUCUAUCCUUGUGAAUCUUCCAGGAACACUUGAAAAGAAUAUAUAUUAUGCUAUUGUCGAGGAGAGUGUUUUGUAUGUGUCAGUUAAGUCAUGUUGGCUUAUGAUGUUUUUCAAGUGCUCUCUUCCUUAUUGAUCUUCUGUCCAGUUGUUCUAGUCAUUGUGAAAGUGAGUGUAGUGAAAUCUCCAACUAUUAUUAUAGAAUUGUAUAUUUCUCUCUUCAAUUCUGUCAGUUUUUCUCUUGAAAUAUUUUGGGGCUCUGUUGUAGAUGUAUAUAUGUUUAUAAUUGUUAUGUCUUUUUGAUGGAUUGUAUCUUCAUCAUUAUAAAAUGUUCUCCCUUGUCUGAAGUAAAAAUUUUUGCCUUAAAAUCUAUUUUGCCUUAUUAGUAUAGCCACUGCAGCUCUCUUUUGGUUACUAUUUGCAUGGAUUAUCUUUUUUCCAUUCUUUCACUUUCAAUUUCCCUAUGUGUUUGGAUCUAAAAAGAGUCUCUUGUAGACAGCAUAUAGUUGGAUCAUUUAAAAAAUCCAUUUGGCCAAUCUCUGCCUUUUAAUUGAAAAGUAUAUUAGACAGCGUACUCCAGAGAAACAGAACCAACAGUAUAUAUAUAGUGGAGGCUUGGAAAGUCCAAAAUCUGAUGAAGUAGGCUGGUGGGCUGGAGACUCAGAAAAGAGUUGCCGUUUGAGUCCAAAGUCAGUCUGUUGGCAGAAUUCCUUCUUGGUCAGGUUCGAUCAGUCUUUGUUCUAUCAAGGCCUUUAAGUGAUUGGAUGAGGCCAACUCACACUAUGGAAGGUCAUCUGCUUUACUCAAAGUCCCCUGAUUUAAAUGUUAAACUCAUCCAAAAAAAUACGUUCACAGAAACAUCCAGAAUCGUCUUUGACCAACUAUGUGGGUACUGUGGCCCAGCCAAGUUGACACAUAAAAUGGACCAUCAGAAGUCCACUCCUUGUCAACUUGGCACUCAUACACAGCUCCUUAAAGAAUACUUAAUCUCCAAAUAAAGACAAUAACAAGGUCACACUUCUGCCUAACAUGAUAUAACUAUCCUGCGUACAACCCAAGACAUACUAACACUUUCCUCAGAAGAGAAUGGAAAAGUCCUUGGGUGAUGUUUACUCUUCUUGAUAUCCUGUAACUUAAAUCCUAUGAUAUAAAGUCAAUGCAUCUUGUAUUACAUGAUAAAGGGAUAAGAGAAGGAAGAAGGGCCAGCUCCGGGGCCGAGUGGUUAAAUUCACGCACUCCACUUUGGUGGGCCAGGGUUUCAUGGGUUUGGAUCCUGGGCACGGACAUGGCACCGCUCAUCAGGCCAUGCUGAGGCAGCGUCCCAGGUAGCAAAACCAGAGGCACUCACAACUAGAAUAUACAACUAUGUACUGGGGGGCUGUGGGGAGAAGAGGAAGAAAGAG
rnacentral:lncRNA from 1 species